UCCCCGGUGGUCCAGUGGUUAAGACACUGUGCUCCCAAUACAGGGGCCACAGGUUUGACCCUGGUCGGGAAA
rnacentral:tRNA from 1 species